rfam:Ictidomys tridecemlineatus contig000698, whole genome shotgun sequence.
GGGGAUGUAGCUCAGUGGUAGGGUGCUUGCCUGGGGUGCAUGAGGCUCUGGGUUCAAUUCCCAGCAGCACCA